CGUCGUCCUCAGGGUUAUGUUGGGAAUUCUGCUGGAGAAUAUCAACAGCUGCAUUGGAGUUGGCAAAAUUUUUGUGAUGCCCUUGUUGAUAGUUUUACGAUUUCACUUUUGUCUCACUUAGUGUAAAUAACAGUAAAACCAAGGACAAAGUUAGACUUGAAAAGGUGGCAGUACCAUGGACCUACAACAUUUGCACAAGCAAACACCUUUCAUCAUUUUUGAUAAUAAUACGAAAACGUAACAAAAUCUUAGGCUUUCAGUCCUUUCUCUCAUCUCCGCCUGAAGCUCUCUUUCUCCGGUGGAAUCUACAUCUCUCUUGAAGUAUGUCACAAGCUUUGUCGAUUCGGGACUCACAGGAGAUGAAUACAGGAGAAUUCGAAAUUUGACUUACAAGAAGAUACAUGUGUCUAAUAAAUACGUGUAUGUGAUUAUAGUUUAAGUUUGCUUUGUAAUUUCAUUUUGUUCGGAUUGUUGUUGACGAGGGGAGCUAAUAGGAGAUUUGGUGGGAAUUUAAUAUGUAGCACAUAUUAUUCUUUUCAUUUAAUCACAACUAUUACUGAGAAA